AGAGUUUGAUUCUGGCUCAGAUUGAACGCUGGCGGCAGGCCUAACACAUGCAAGUCGAGCGGCAGCACAGAGGAACUUGUUCCUUGGGUGGCGAGCGGCGGACGGGUGAGUAAUGCCUGGGAAAUUGCCCUGAUGUGGGGGAUAACCAUUGGAAACGAUGGCUAAUACUGCAUGAUGCCUACGGGCCAAAGAGGGGGACCUUCGGGCCUCUCGCGUCAGGAUAUGCCCAGGUGGGAUUAGCUAGUUGGUGAGGUAAUGGCUCACCAAGGCGACGAUCCCUAGCUGGUCUGAGAGGAUGAUCAGCCACACUGGAACUGAGACACGGUCCAGACUCCUACGGGAGGCAGCAGUGGGGAAUAUUGCACAAUGGGCGCAAGCCUGAUGCAGCCAUGCCGCGUGUAUGAAGAAGGCCUUCGGGUUGUAAAGUACUUUCAGUCGUGAGGAAGGUUGUAGUGUGAAUAGCACUAUGAUUUGACGUUAGCGACAGAAGAAGCACCGGCUAACUCCGUGCCAGCAGCCGCGGUAAUACGGAGGGUGCGAGCGUUAAUCGGAAUUACUGGGCGUAAAGCGCAUGCAGGUGGUUUGUUAAGUCAGAUGUGAAAGCCCUGGGCUUAACCUAGGAGUUGCAUUUGAAACUGACAAGCUAGAGUACUGUAGAGGGGGGUAGAAUUUCAGGUGUAGCGGUGAAAUGCGUAGAGAUCUGAAGGAAUACCGGUGGCGAAGGCGGCCCCCUGGACAGAUACUGACACUCAGAUGCGAAAGCGUGGGGAGCAAACAGGAUUAGAUACCCUGGUAGUCCACGCCGUAAACGAUGUCUACUUGGAGGUUGUGGCCUUGAGCCGUGGCUUUCGGAGCUAACGCGUUAAGUAGACCGCCUGGGGAGUACGGUCGCAAGAUUAAAACUCAAAUGAAUUGACGGGGGCCCGCACAAGCGGUGGA
rnacentral:rRNA from 1 species